UUUGAAUAUGUAUUAAAUCAUGCAACAUAAGUUUAUAUGAACUUUUUCUUUAUAAAAAUGAAGAGAAUGGUCAUUUAAAUCCUGUUGCAUUGGCAUACACAUGUUAUAAUGAUUUUCUCAGAUUGGGCUUACUGGUUAUGGAUGUUGGCCCUCCUGCUGAUUGGGUAAGAUUAAUGUGCAGAGAGCUAAGGAUUGCUUUCAGGUGUAUGCUUUGGUUUAUGGGCUUUUGCAUGUAAAGGUAACAAAGCUAUCAUUGUUUUAAUAUACUCCCCAUUACAAUCAUUAGUCAAUACGUUUUUUUCAUAUAUUUUGUGGAUGGAAGAAGGUCUGGUACAAUCUGAUCCAGUUGGUCGCUUGGUUAUGUCUGCUCAACUAGAGCAGCUUGAGAAUCCUUGGGGCAUUUCUCCUUUUAAAUAGGCAUGAUUGGGAGCAUAUAUAUAGAGAUCUGAAGCUUAGAUUAUAAAUGACGACUAAAAUGGCGGUUUUUAUGCAGGCUGUGAGCUUGUAUGCGCUCAUAUAAUUGUUAAAUAUAAUUUGUCUGUUAUUAUUAUUUUGACUUUUUAUUUACUUUUUUGUAUUUCAGGUGCGUAUAGUUGUAGCUCACGUUAGGUUUGUAAAUUAAAAAAAAGUAUAAUAUAUAAAUGAUUAUACCUUUUUAA
rnacentral:lncRNA from 1 species